rnacentral:rRNA from 1 species
AGCGAACGCUGGCGGCAGGCCUAACACAUGCAAGUCGAACGAAGUCUUCGGACUUAGUGGCGGACGGGUGAGUAACACGUGGGAACGUGCCUUUAGGUUCGGAAUAACUCAGGGACACUUGUGCUAAUACCGAAUGUGCCCUUCGGGGGAAAGAUUUAUCGCCUUUAGAGCGGCCCGCGUCUGAUUAGCUAGUUGGUGGGGUAAAGGCUCACCAAGGCUACGAUCAGUAGCUGGUCUGAGAGGAUGACCAGCCACAUUGGGACUGAGACACGGCCCAAACUCCUACGGGAGGCAGCAGUGGGGAAUCUUGCGCAAUGGGCGAAAGCCUGACGCAGCCAUGCCGCGUGGAUGAUGAAGGUCUUAGGAUUGUAAAAUCCUUUCACCGGUGAAGAUAAUGACUGUAGCCGGAGAAGAAGCCCCGGCUAACUUCGUGCCAGCCGCCGCCGUAAUAC